rnacentral:tRNA from 1 species
GGGCCCAUAGCUCAGGCGGUUAGAGUGCACCCCUGAUAAGGGUGAGGUCGGUAGUUCGAGUCUACCUGGGCCCACCACCC